CUCCCCCUUCCACUGGAAUAUCUCCGAUAGCUCUCCGACCUCACCAACCUGCAAGCAAUUGCAAUUCCAUCAUCAUCAACAACAACAACAAUAGCAACAUUGCUAGGAGAAGGUUUCUUGGGCUGUGGUAUUGUUCCCAUCCUCGUACUCGAGCGAACUCUGCGAGCAUGUCUCUGAGUUCCUGCAGUGAGACGUCUUUGGCGGUUUUCUCAGAAGUCAGUUUAGGGAGAGAGAGAGAGAGACAGAGAGACAGAGGGAAUUUGAGAUGAUAGUGGGAGGUGCACUUGAGGUGUUUGAUAAAAAGAUAAAACAGUAAUUAAGGCAUGUGAAGUGUGGGAAAGCAUGUCUCCACCUUUCCAUUCAUCACUUCAAAGUUCAAAUCACCCAUCUGCUGCUGCAGCACCUCAUGCCAUGCCAUGUCUCUCCACUUCUCUACACCACAAAAUACUUACCCACUUCAUUCAAGCUUUAGAAUUUGAAUCUUCUUUGGACUUGUUUUUUUGAAUUCAACAAUUGAGAGGGAAGCUUCAAAUCUUUGCCACCUUGGUCGAAGACACGUCUUAACUAAUUACUAGGCUUAUUUAGCAAGCUUGUGUGACGACUUUGGAUCCUAGUUCCUAGUUCAUUUAUUAAUAUGCAGUGGAUUACUUUCAGUUAA